rnacentral:rRNA from 1 species
AUUGAACGCUGGCGGCAGGCCUAACACAUGCAAGUCGAACGAGGGGCGGACGGGUGAAAAAUGUCUGGGAAUGUGCGAGGUGGGGGGGGAACAAUAGUGGAAACUGUCUCUAAUAGCGCAUAAGAUCAGGUGCACACAUAUGGGAUGAGCUUGUAGGUGAGGUAACGGCGCACCGAGGCGACGAUCCCUAUCUGGUCUGAGAGGAUGAACAGCCACACUGGAACUGAUACACGGUCCAGACGCCUACGGGAGGCAGCAGUGGGGAAUAGUGCACAAUGGGCGCAAGCCUGAUGCAGCCAUGCCGCGUGUAUGAAGAAGGCCUUCGGGUUGUAAAGUACUUUCAGCGGGGAGGCGUUACCCGCAGAAGAAGCACCGGCUAACUCCGUGCCAGCAGCCGCGGUAAUUC